UACAGAGGUCCCAAGCGUUGUUCGGAUUCACUGGGCGUAAAGGGUGCGUAGGUGGUCAGGUAAGUCUGAUGUGAAAGCUCUGGGCUCAACCCAGAAAUGGCAUUGGAUACUAUCUGGCUAGAGGAAUGGAGGGGGGACUGGAAUACUUGGUGUAGCAGUGAAAUGCGUAGAUAUCAAGUGGAACACCAGUGGCGAAGGCGAGUCCCUGGACAUUUCCUGACACUGAGGCACGAAAGCUAGGGGAGCAAACAGG
rnacentral:rRNA from 1 species